CCUGGGACAAGGCCAUUUGUUAGCCGGAUGAGAGCUGAAACCAGAACGCAGAGGUGCCGCCUUGCUUGACCUCAGCUGGGAAUGCGUGCAACAGGCAACUCAAAUUUGUCACCGCUCUGCCCAUGUCUGCAAACGACCGUCACAGUGCUAUGAGGAAACUAUAGAGCAGUAAAGCAACACGUCCAAAGUUACAGCUGACACAUGGCCAGGCGAGGAGAUGGCAGGGACCAGAUCUCACCCAUCUUGGUUCGCCUUACACCAGCGAGGUGCUCCGUAAAUAUUGCUGGUUUGCUUGAUUCAAGUGAGAUAUAUCGCCUCUUUCAGAUGGCUUUCAGUGCCUGAGCUGAUGGUUUCUCCAGUGUGGAUUACAAGCCCUAAGGCCACACCUUCCUCUGAUGCAGCUUGAAAGUAGUGAACUGGAUUUUCCACUGUUCUUUCUCUUACUAUUGCUGUCAAGACAGAUGGCCAGUGCCCACAGCAAGUAAGCAUCAAUCCCAGGACUCCGAGAGCCAGUGGGAAACAAUCCUGAGUGGGAAAACAAGAGUGAUGAGGCUUUUCUUCUUGCACAGGUCCCUGCAGGUACAGAUUGGAGUCAUAUGAUGGGAAGCAGAGCCCAGGAGAACGGGCAGGUGCAGAAGGCCUUGAGAGGGGGCAGUGGCUCCGGGUUAGGAGAUUUGCGUUUGGAGCACACUAUUUCCCUAAUGAAGUGGGGGUACCAACACUUCUGCUCAAAGGGAGGAGACAUCGCAAGGUCAAGUGGCACAUAGCCUGAAUGCGCUGGAUGACCAAGAAACACCAGUCAGACAUCCGGAAGGCAGUAACAACCUACUUACAUUUUUUCUGAGGUCUCUUUUAAAUGGGAUAAAUGGAGAGAUUUCACUGAGUUAAUCACAGCAGAAUUCUUCUUUGCCUGUGUAUCUCCCCAAAGUUGGCCACGCUGUUAGUUGUACCAGUUCCUCCAUCUGGAAGCUCCCUAUCCCCCCUUCUCUCUUCCCAAACCUGUAAACCAAACUUCAGACAUGGAGGAGGGCCAGCAGGAGAAAACCAAACUCUUGUAUCCCUAUCUCCUUUCUGGCUUCCUAUUUUAACUGUGUUGUUCACAUUUACUCCCUCCUUCCUGGAAUUGCUUUAAAGGUUUUCAAAGGCAUUUAAGACACAUGUUUGGGUGGGAAAAGACUGUGCUUCUAAAGCAGUGUUUACUCACCUAAGCACGUCAGCACUCCUGUCUCCUCCUACCCCCCUCAAUUCACACUGUGGGGAGUGAGAGUGGAACAACCACAACAAAACCUGGGCAAGUCAUUUAAUGUCUCUGAGCCUCAGUUUCAUUAUCUGCAAAAUGGGAUGACAUACCCAGGAAUGAUUAACCGGGGUAAUGAAUGUAAGGCACCUAGUAUGUGGCUGGAAACAAUAUAGCUCUUCCGUAGACAGUCACAUUUGGUCAACAACAUUGUACGGUGGCCUAGGGGAUGUGCUCACAUGUCUCAGACUGAGCUUGCUUCCUGGGAAAAUCCCUGAUAUAAUAGGAGAGAUAAGACAGGCAUAGCAAUACCUCUAAGAGAAAGUAGAGAAUGCUGAGAGGACGGUACAGACCUGAGAGAGAUGAGGAUAGGCAGAACCCGGAAAGCUCCCUGGAAAGGUGAGGUUUGAAUGGGUCCUUUCCCUGCUGGAUGGUCAGAUUUGGCUAUAAAUGGAAGCAGAGGAAGGGAAAGUGUGGUGCCUGUACAGGGAGAGAGUCGUAACACAGAAUGAGUAGGUAGUAGCGCUGGAAAGCGAAUGGAAGGUGGGUAUGACUCUGAUUAAGGACUAACUUUAUUGUCCCAGAGUUAGAAUUACA